UUUAUUUUUUAGUCUUUUGGCUAAGAUCAAGUGUAAUACUUGUUUUACCAGUUCAAUGUCCAGUAUAUGAACAAUAUGUUCACUUUGACAUUAAAUUCAUUUAGUAUGGGUAUUUUUAUGUGGAGGGUUACCCAAUCAAUAUCUUCAAAUAUAGUUAGGUACCGUUGCAACGCACGGGUAUUAAACAAGUAUAG
rfam:Zea mays cultivar B73 chromosome 6, whole genome shotgun sequence.